GGUUUCUUGUUUAUUUAGGAAAUUUGGCCUGCCCACUGAUUUAUUUUUAAGGGCCGCAGUAUAUUGACUGUGCAAAGGUAGCAUAAUCAUUAGUCUUUUAAUUGAGGGCUGGUAUGAAUGGUUGGACGAGAUAAAUUCUGUUUCAUAAAAAAUAAAUUGAAUUUUAAAUUUAAGUAAAAAGACUUAAAUUUUGUUAAGGGACGAGAAGACCCUAUAGAGUUUUAUAUAUUGUAUUUAAGUUGAGGUUUAUUAAGUUAUUUAUUACUUUUAUUUAUAUAUAUUUAAUUGGGGUGAUUGAGAGAUAAGUUUAACUCUUUUUUGGUUUAAAUAAUUAUAAUUAUUUUUUUUGAUCCAUUAUUAUUGAUUAUAAGAUUAAAUUACCUUAGGGAUAACAGCAUAAUAUUCCUUGAGAGUUCUUAUUGAAAGGAAAGAUUGUGACCUCGAUGUUGGAUUAAGAAAAAUAUUGGGUGUAGUUGUUCAAUUAUUAGGUCUGUUCGACCUUUAAAAUCUUACA
rnacentral:rRNA from 1 species